AAGGCCAAUCGGUUAGAGACUACAGCUUGUAUAAAAGCAGAGGAGGUGGCGCAUUUCCUUCUCUUUCUUUGAGAUCCUCCCGAAAGUAGAAGUGAAGAAAUGAUAACAGAAGAAAUAGCGGUUCUGUAGAUCUGCUUGCAGUCUUUGGCGUCUCUGCAGUUAUGGAUCUGGACCCUAGACGCAGGUCAGGGUCAGCGCUGGAGGAACCACGUGCAGGUCCAGGUGACGAACCUGGCUGAUGCAAACAUGAGCUGGAUGGAGACUGUACAGAUCCAGAAGGGAUAAAUGUUGGCGUCCAGGUUGACUGGGAAGUGAGUGCUGGCUCUGCCCUCUAAAGAUGUUGGUGUGAGAAGAUCACCAUGGAGACCAGCUGCAGGCCAGGAGUACAGAAAGCUGCUGCUGCUUUAUUUGUGCAAAGAAUCUGUGACAAACAGUGAAAUUGAUGCUAUGAAACUGUCAGCUGUUGGGUUGGAAUAAAAACCACUGAAAAUA